UCCCUGGUGAUCCAGUGGUUAGGAUUCCACAGUCUCACUGCUGAGGACCUGGGUUCAAUCCCUAGUCAGGGAA
rnacentral:tRNA from 1 species